UGGCAUGUAUAAUCUCUACUUUCAUCCUUGAUAUCCAGCUGCACAUGUUGAGCCUGUAUUAGGUAUUCAUUAGCAUAACUAGAUCAAUCUUCACUAUCAGAGCUGGCCUCAUCAGAACUAUAAUCGCUACUAUCAUCAUCAAUAUCAAGCUGCACAUGUCGAACUUGUAUAGGUUCGGGCAUUCUUGAAAGUCCCGGAGGAGGUACUGGUCGUGCAGGUGCCUCCUCAACCUUUUGAGGUGGACGAGAAUCCACUGGAGGAAGAGCAAUUGGAUCACCAGGCUUCCACCCAGGUGGAGGAAGAGGGAGAUCAGUGGGCAACUCAACAGGCAUACCAGGUUUCCAACCAGAUGGCACUACAAUAUUUGGAGGGACGAGGCCCUGAAUUGAUGAUAGAUUGGCAAGUGGAUUACUUUCUGCCGGAGGCUCAAUGAGUGGCUCCAAAAUAUUCUCCUUGCCUUCAUCUGUUUUAGGUAAACCAACAUCAAGAUCAGCAAAAAUAUAUAACUGUGAUGCACGCAAUUGCUCAUCCUGUGGAGCCGGUGGGAGAGCUCCCCGGAGAGGAGCCUGUCCACCACCAAAUUCAGGUGGUGCAAAAGUAGUGUAACUUAUCCUAUGAGCAUAUGACAAAAUGUCAGAUAAUUUCAACUGGGUCGCCACAGAUGUUAAUGAAGAUUCUUCAGUAUCGUUUUCCAACUUGGCCCGUUUGGGGCGACGAUAGUCAGCAUAGUCAUCAACAAGAUUGUCAAGAACAUGCUCAGCUCCUUUGAGUUUGUUGGCGAAGGCAAGAAUUGCAGAAUCAUUUGACCUAAUUUCACGGGUGACUUUUUGCUUCUCAUCUUGAAGAUCAAGUAUUUCUUGUAGUUCAGCAACUGCUUCAAACAGCUGUGUCUGAAGAGAAGUAAACGCUGAGAGGAUUUCUUUUGAGGACGAUGGGCUGGAAUCUUGUGGAACUGGUGCUGUAGAAGGCAGAAAUGAAGGGAAAGAGCCACGAAAAGCACUAAGCCAAUGGGACCGGUUAGGUGAGACUUCAAAGAGCCUUGACGCAAGAGACGCCAUUUGAAUGAGAAGAGACUGAGCUCUAGAGAGAGGUGGGAGAAGAGGAAGGAGCGUUGAUGAGGUGGUAGUGGUAGUUAAUAUAUUUGCCUGUUGAUUGGGUUGCGACGCUUGCGAGGAGAACUUAGUAGGAGGAGUUGUGUUUUGUAGAGAAGGUGAACUGGGAGUUGGCAGGCCUAGCCGUGCCGG
rnacentral:misc_RNA from 1 species